rnacentral:rRNA from 1 species
ACUACGGGAGGCAGCAGUGGGGAAUAUUGCGCAAUGGGCGAAAGCCUGACGCAGCGACGCCGCGUGAGGGAUGAAGGUCUUCGGAUCGUAAACCUCUGUCAGCAGGGAAGAACGGUCACUGUGCUAAUCAGCAGUGAAUUGACGGUACCUGCAAAGGAAGCACCGGCUAACUCCGUGCCAGCAGCCGCGGUAAUACGGAGGGUGCGAGCGUUAAUCGGAAUUACUGGGCGUAAAGCGCUCGUAGGCGGUAUGUCAAGUCAAGGGUGAAAUCCCCGCGCUAAACGUGGGAACUGCCUUUGAAACUGGGAAACUGGAGUGUGUGAGAGGAUAGUGGAAUUCCAGGUGUAGGAGUGAAAUCCGUAGAGAUCUGGAGGAACAUCAGGGGCGAAGGCGACUAUCUGGCACAUAACUGACGCUGAGGAGCGAAAGCGUGGGUAGCAAACAGGAUUAGAUACCCCGGUAGUC